GAGUUUGAUCCUGGCUCAGAACGAACGCUGGCGGCGUGCUUAACACAUGCAAGUCGAACGUGAUUGAGAGCUUGCUCUCAUGAAAGUGGCGCACGGGUGAGUAACACGUGGAUAAUCUGCCUGGCGAUUCGGGAUAACACUUCGAAAGGGGUGCUAAUACCGGAUAAGCCCACAGUCUCUUCGGAGAGUGCGGGAAAAGGGGGCCUCUGUAUAUGCUCCUGUCGCUAGAUGAGUCCSCGGCCCAUUAGCUAGUUGGUAGGGUAAUGGCCUACCAAGGCGACGAUGGGUAGCUGGUCUGAGAGGAUGAUCASCCMCACUGGAACUGAGACACGGUCCAGACUCCUACGGGAGGCAGCAGUGGGGAAUUUUGCGCAAUGGGCGAAAGCCUGACGCAGCAACGCCSCGUGAGUGAUGAAGGCUUUCGGGUCGUAAAGCUCUGUCAGAGGGGAAGAAAUGAAACGUGCUAAUAUCACGUUUUCUUGACGGUACCCUCAAAGGAAGCACCGGCUAACUCCGUGCCAGCAGCCGCGGUAAUAC
rnacentral:rRNA from 1 species